rnacentral:rRNA from 1 species
AUUGAACGCUGGCGGCAUGCCUUACACAUGCAAGUCGAACGGCAGCACGGGUGCUUGCACCUGGUGGCGAGUGGCGAACGGGUGAGUAAUACAUCGGAACGUACCUUAUCGUGGGGGAUAACGCAGCGAAAGCUGUGCUAAUACCGCAUACGCCCUGAGGGGGAAAGCGGGGGAUCGCAAGACCUCGCGCGAUUAGAGCGGCCGAUGCCUGAUUAGCGUGUUGGGGGGGUAAAAGCCCACCAAGGCGACGAACAGUAGCUGGUCUGAGAGGACGAUCAGCCACACUGGGACUGAGACACGGCCCAGACUCCUACAGGAGGCAGCAGUGGGGAAUUUUGGACAAUGGGGGCAACCCUGAUCCAGCAAUGCCGCGUGAGUGAAGAAGGCCUUCGGGUUGUAAAGCUCUUUUGUCAGGGAAGAAACACCGGCUCUAACACAGUCCGGGAAUGACGGUACCUGAAGAAUAAGCACCGGCUAACUACGUGCCAGCAGCCGCAGUAA